UGGAAAAUUGGCAUUUUUUUUGAGAAACCUGGAUGGGAACUUGGGAGUCAAUUUCCAGGGGACACAGGAGUGGCCUGGGGGGUUCAUGGAGGAUUCAGAGGCAGGAACCUUUCACAUCAGUCAGCUCUCCUUUCUCUUUGAUUUGGGGGGAUUUGAGGGAGCCUCACUGGAUUAUUGACCACCUUCUUCUGUGGUCAGUCUGGGGCUUGGUGAGUCCCAGCCCUGGGGUCCCCAAUGGAGCCUCAAUUGGGAAAUGGCCCCAAGUCCCCAGAUCCCCAAUUGAAGGAGACAAAAGGCAGUUACUGCCAAGGUCCCAUUGUGACUCGCCCCAUUGUGACAACCGGUUAGAGCACUGGGGCCAAGGCACCAUGGUGACUGUCUCCUCAGUUGAUCCAAAGUCUCCUCCAGUUGUGUUUCCCCUGGAAACCUGCAGCUCGGAGAACCAGGACCCUGUGGUGGUUGCCUGCCUGGUCAAAGGGAUCUUCCCAAUGCCAGGGGUGGUUUACUGGGACAGUGACCAGGCUUCUUCCUUCACCCGCACCUACAACUCCAUCCAGUCUACCGGUGGAAGCUUCAGUUUCGUGAGCCAGCUCACCAUGCUCUCCUCCCAGUGCCCGCUGGAAAAGGAGUUCCACUGCACCGCCAUUUACAACAACUUGAAAGCCACGGCCAAUGUGACGUGCCCACCCGUACCACAGUGUUGCAAGUGCUCUCCCAAAGUGCUCCUGCACCCCCCUUCCCUGGAAGGGCUGUUCCUGGGGAAAGGAGCCAAUCUGACCUGCGUGCUCAAGGGCCUGGUGGACCCCCGAGAGACCACCUUCACCUGGACCCGCCCCAACGGAGACCCCUCUCAAGCCACCACGGGGAAUCCUGUGGAGGAGGAGGACGGCACAUACAGCUUGGCCAGCGUCCUGGAGAUCUGCGCUGAGGAGUGGCAUCAGAGAGAUAAAUUCACCUGCACCGUGACCCAUCCAAAGAUGUCCCCGAUUACCCAAACCAUCACCAAACCACCAGGCCCCCUGAACCGGCCCGAGGUCCACCUGCUGGCCCCCUCCACCGAGGAGCUGGCCCUGAAUGAGAUGGCCACCCUGACCUGCCUGGUGAGGGGCUUCAACCCCCCGGACCUGCUGGUGAAGUGGUUGAAGGGGGGACAGGAGGUGUCCCAGACGGACUACGUGACCAGCUCCCCGCAGCGGGAAGCCAGCGAGGGCUCCGCCAGCACAUUCUUCCUGUACAGCACCCUCCGCGUCCCGACCUCCGAAUGGAAAGAGGGGGAGAACUACUCCUGCGUGGUGGGCCACGAGGCCCUGCCCCUCAACUUCACCCAGAAAACCAUCGACCAUUCCACCGGCAAACCCAGCACUGUCAACGUGUCCCUGGUCAUGUCCGACACCGCCGGUACCUGUUACUAAGCCCCAUCCCCCCUCCGCCUCCCACGCCUCAGCCCCCAUUCUCUGUCCAGGGGGACCUGCACGAGUCACCUGCUCAAUAAACCAUGAUGCACCCAAAAAGCCCAA